rnacentral:misc_RNA from 1 species
GGUCUGGAUAACGAGGGUGAUUGGAGAUCUGGGUCUUGUUUAGAUCAACCAUAUGUGAUUCAAAAACUUCAGCAUGAUUACCCGCUUGAAAUUGCAGUAUAUUACCAACUGAAGUGUAGAAUUCAUGAUUAGCAGUGGUAGUAGUCGUAGAAGCAGUGAAGUUUGAAGGGAAAUUUUCAACUGUAACAAUAUCAUCUGAACACCCUAUAGUAGGAUUAAGCCUAUACAAAUCCUCCAUGGGUGUUGACACAUGCAGAAGACGGUGCUAAUAAGUAUCAAUCUUGAAUUGAAACAGCAAAAGCUUGACUGAUCUUGAAACGACCAGAACUUUUUCAAGAGAACUUUAACCUGGUGAUCCAGCUGAGCAAGCCACUAAGAUCAGCAAUAUCUUCGGGCAUAUCAAAAGACCCGAAACCAAAGUGAGUCGGGCAAAU